rnacentral:misc_RNA from 1 species
CCUCUAUAAAAACCGAUUACAAUAUCAGCAUUCGAACCUGUAGAUGCUUCUUGAAAAGUGAAUUGGGAAACACUUGCCCAUCUCUGAAAAGCUCGCGAGCACGCAGACCUCAUGUCUGCCUCAUUUGGGUUUUGAACUCCAGAGCGAAACGUGUAGGUGAGUUGAUACUUAGAAGAUGGCCAUCUUCGUAUUUCCUCGGGAAAAGCAUAGUGUGAAACCAUGUGGAACAUUUUCGACUUGUGGUGGUUGCUGCUGGUUGGUUUUGAUGAGGAUGUGAGAUUGGUGACAUCAGGUACUCCACAUCGUCGGAUCAUCAUAUUCUUGAUGGUAGCAGAAUCAAGACUUCCCCUGACC